rnacentral:ncRNA from 2 species
UUACAAUAUUAUUUUAACGUUCGUAUAUCCUCAAUAAUAUGGUUUGAGGGUCUCUAUAAGGAACCGUAAAAUCCUAACUACGAAUGAAUACA